GGUGCUGUAGCUCAGGGGUAGAGUGCUUGUCUUAGCUCAGGGAUAGAGUGUUUGCCUCCCAUGCAGGAGGCACUGGGUUCGAUCCUCAGCACCACAU
rnacentral:tRNA from 1 species